CCCUGGCUCAGGACGAACGCGGGCGGCGUGCCUAAUACAUGCAAGUCGAGCGAAUCAAUAGGAGCUUGCUCCUGUUGGUUAGCGGCGGACGGGUGAGUAACACGUGGGCAACCUGCCUGUAAGACUGGGAUAACACCGGGAAACCGGUGCUAAUACCGGAUAAUCCUUUUCCUCUCAUGAGGAAAAGCUGAAAGUCGGUUUCGGCUGACACUUACAGAUGGGCCCGCGGCGCAUUAGCUAGUUGGUGAGGUAACGGCUCACCAAGGCGACGAUGCGUAGCCGACCUGAGAGGGUGAUCGGCCACACUGGGACUGAGACACGGCCCAGACUCCUACGGGAGGCAGCAGUAGGGAAUCUUCCACAAUGGACGAAAGUCUGAUGGAGCAACGCCGCGUGAGCGAUGAAGGCCUUCGGGUCGUAAAGCUCUGUUGUUAGGGAAGAACAAGUACCGGAGUAACUGCCGGUACCUUGACGGUACCUAACCAGAAAGCCACGGCUAACU
rnacentral:rRNA from 2 species